GAUGAACGCUGGCGGCGUGCUUAACACAUGCAAGUCGAACGGAAAGGCCCAAGCUUGCUUGGGUACUCGAGUGGCGAACGGGUGAGUAACACGUGGGUGAUCUGCCCCGCACUUCGGGAUAAGCCUGGGAAACUGGGUCUAAUACCGGAUAGGACAGUGGUUUGGAUGCCAUUGUGUAAAGUUUUUUCGGUGUGGGAUGAGCUCGCGGCCUAUCAGCUUGUUGGUGGGGUAAUGGCCUACCAAGGCGUCGACGGGUAGCCGGCCUGAGAGGGUGUACGGCCACAUUGGGACUGAGAUACGGCCCAGACUCCUACGGGAGGCAGCAGUGGGGAAUAUUGCACAAUGGGCGCAAGCCUGAUGCAGCGACGCCGCGUGGGGGAUGACGGCCUUCGGGUUGUAAACUCCUUUCGCUAGGGACGAAGCGUUAUGUGACGGUACCUAGAGAAGAAGCACCGGCUAACUACGUG
rnacentral:rRNA from 1 species